rnacentral:rRNA from 1 species
UACGUAGGGCGCAAGCGUUAUCCGGAAUUAUUGGGCGUAAAGAGCUCGUAGGCGGUUUGUCGCGUCUGCCGUGAAAGUCCGGGGCUCAACUCCGGAUCUGCGGUGGGUACGGGCAGACUAGAGUGAUGUAGGGGAGACUGGAAUUCCUGGUGUAGCGGUGAAAUGCGCAGAUAUCAGGAGGAACACCGAUGCGAAGGCAGGUCUCUGGGCCAUUACUGACACCGAGAAGCGAAAGCAUGGGGAGCGAACAGG